UACGGAGGGGGCGAGCGUUAUUCGGAAUUAUUGGGCGUAAAGGGCGCGUAGGCGGCUGUACAAGUCAAAGGUGAAAUCCCUCGGCUCAACUGAGGAACUGCCUUUGAAACUGUACGGCUUGAGGCCGGGAGGGGGUAGCGGAAUUCCCAGUGUAGCGGUGAAAUGCGUAGAUACUGGGAGGAACACCAGUGGCGAAGGCGGCUACCUGGACCGGUUCUGACGCUGAGGCGCGAAAGCGUGGGGAGCGAACCGG
rnacentral:rRNA from 1 species